rnacentral:rRNA from 1 species
UACGUAGGUGGCAAGCGUUGUCCGGAUUUACUGGGCGUAAAGGGCGUGCAGGCGGCUUGUUAAGUGCAGGGUGAAAGCUCCCGGCUCAACUGGGAGAGGUCCUUGCAUACUGGCGAGCUCGAGGGAGGCAGAGGAAAGUGGAAUUCCCGGUGUAGUGGUGAUAUGCGUAGAUAUCGGGAGGAACACCUGUGGCGAAGGCGGCUUUCUGGGCCUUACCUGACGCUGAGACGCGAAAGCGUGGGGAG